AGAUUGAACGCUGGCGGCAUGCCUUACACAUGCAAGUCGAACGGCAGCACGGGAGCUUGCUCCUGGUGGCGAGUGGCGAACGGGUGAGUAAUACAUCGGAACGUACCCUGAAGUGGGGGAUAACGUAGCGAAAGUUACGCUAAUACCGCAUAUUCUGUGAGCAGGAAAGAGGGGGAUCGCAAGACCUCUUGCUUUAGGAGCGGCCGAUGUCGGAUUAGCUAGUUGGUGAGGUAAAGGCUCACCAAGGCGACGAUCCGUAGCGGGUCUGAGAGGAUGAUCCGCCACACUGGGACUGAGACACGGCCCAGACUCCUACGGGAGGCAGCAGUGGGGAAUUUUGGACAAUGGGCGCAAGCCUGAUCCAGCCAUGCCGCGUGAGUGAAGAAGGCCUUCGGGUUGUAAAGCUCUUUCGGUGGGGAAGAAAUUGCACAGGAUAAUACCUUGUGUAGAUGACGGUACCCGCAUAAGAAGCACCGGCUAACUACGUG
rnacentral:rRNA from 1 species